AAACUGACAUCAGCUCAACGUGUGUCCCUUUUUCCUAUUCUUUAUCACAGCACCACACGUUGUUGAACAGGAAACCAGUUGCCCCUCUGGUCAUCAUCUUAGGGAGGCAACAUGGGCAACUUUGGGCUGACUCAGCAUGUAACGGAGACCACACAUAAUAGAGGACACACUCUUGACCUACUGAUCUCCAAGGGCCUGAGCAUUUCAAAGGAGAGUUACUGGUUUUGGAUCGAUGGAAGCCCUUUCACAUAUGCGAAAUGGUGUCAGGGGGAACCUAACAACGCUGAGGGAAACAAGCCAUGCUUGGUGGUGAAUUUUUCAGGGCGGAAGGAUGAAAGAUGUGUUUUGAAAAUGCCACGUGACUACCAUCCUCCUCCCUCCCGGAUCAGUCCGCAUGUUCAUGGCGCCAGCAUUUGUUAUGGAAUAUAUUGAGCAAACCUGGAGAUAUUAUUGUUGUCAUUGCUGUGGAUCUUUACUGACUUGGCUCGGGACCAGCACUCCUGUUGUUGGACAGGAAGACAUCAACUCAGUGACUUGAGAUAUGACUGCACUGUGCUGUUGCUGUGACUCCAGUUAAUUCUACAAGACAUGCUGUGACACCAGGAGAGAUGAGUCCUCCAUCACAGAUGGUGUGGUCAGUGAAGGUGGUCACCUGCAGGUUCAAGCUCAUUGCAUCUCCAACCCACAUCCACUGCCACUGUACUUAAGGGAAGUUAAAGACUUUCUUCUGCACCUACAUUUGGAUCACCUCGAUCCAUGACAGUCAUUCAGGCAGUAAUGCCUGGACUGGAAACAAGCCAUCCUUAAAAUAUUACAACAUUCCAGCUCCUGUGUUGGAAUGAAAAACGAAUGUGUUGUUUAAAUUAGAGACUGCACUUGUGACAGAACAAUAAAUAUUUUAUGUUGAUUAUAUAAGUAAUGUAAGUACAAAACAAACUUGUG